UAAGGCUGGUAAAUAUAGCCGGUUUUUGGGACGGGCCAAUUUUUCUGGGUUGAGUCUCUUAUUUAGUAGGCAAGCAUGAUUUGCUCAUGUGAAGGAUAUUAAGAAGUAAAAAUUACAGGGAGACUCAUUUUUCCAAUUUUUUCCAUUGUGAAACCCAUGAUCAGAAAUCUAAAGGCAAAAAAUUAUUCUCGAACCCAAAAUUAUUGAAAUUAAAUUUUAUGAUCUACUGCCAGCAGCGAUGGUAGAAAAAAUUACAUCGGAGAAAUCAUCGAAUGUGGGUUCUGAUUAUGUAUUCGAAUUGGGGUUGGUUGUACUUGAAUUUGUGGAGGAGAUGGAAUUAAACUGAAUCUGCUGGUGCUGUUGGAGUUUAUGAGCAGCAACUCUUCUCAAUCUCAAUUGAUGUUGAAUCUUCUCUUACUAUUAACAACAUCAGUUGAAAUUAGGCCAUCAUAUGGAUCAAUUUUGGAGGUCUAAUUGAGGUUUGAAUGUCAUCAAGGAAUACAAAGAGCAACAUCAGAUUGAGGGUAUGGUUUUACUGCACGAGACAGGGAUUUCAGUUGGUAGUAUUUGGUGAUGAAGUAUUGGCAUUUCUGGUGAUGGUUUAACAGCAAUAACAGGGGCAUUAAGUGAUUCCGGUGGUUGAAACUAGUGGUGUCUUUGAUGGGUUCUCACCCAAUCGUAGUGUCGAUUUAAGUUCUCUAGCCGAUGGGUUAAAUCGGUGGUUGGAGUCGCAGAACAGCUGGAGAUCUCACUACUAGAUGCAGAAGAUGUACAAGUGAAGAAAGAGAAGAUAGCGAAUGUGGUCAGUCGGCUGAUGGGUGAUGGAGAAGCUCGGGGAGAAGGCCAAGGUAGCUGUGGAAGAAGGUGGGUCAUCUUAUGAAAAAUUGACUGCUUUGAUUCAAGAGCUACAGAUGGUUAAGAAGGCAUCAACUACAAGACGCGGAGUUCCAGCGUCUUAGGUUUUUUAGCCUUCUGAAGUUAUAUAUUAACAACAUCAUGUAUUGUAUCAAUAGCAACAAAUCACUUGUUCACAAAUUCUUCAUCCUUUAACUAGGGAUCUUGUGGCCUCCACUAUUUGGACAGGAAAUAACAGAGAGGCUUGGUUGCAUGAAUUAUAGUUUGAAGCUUCAAUAAAAUUCCAACCAUCUGACUCCAAUAUAAUUCCCAUUCUCUCUUCAGUAUAAAAUUGGAUUCUCUCGCCCGUAUGUUAUACAACAGCUGAUUAGAGCUAAAAGGACGCUGCAGUUGCAAGGCAAGGGAGAUGGAAGUGUAGAUGGGUUUGGUGUGCGUGUGAUGUGUAUUUAGAAGAAAAUGGUAAAUGGAGGUGUGAAUAGUGAUGCAUAACAGGUUAUGCAUCUACAAAAUUUGUCGCAUAACUUGUUAUGAUUCUCGAAA